AGGGCAAGUCUGGUGCCAGCAGCCGCGGUAAUUCCAGCUCUCAAAAUGCAUAGAACCAUUGCUGCGGUUAAAAAGCUCGUAGUUGGAUCUGUGAUAAGCGCCCGGUCUGCUCGCUGAGCACGUACUGGUGCGCUUGUCUUUCCGGACGGCAUCAUCGGCGUUGGCCUUCACCGGUCAGCGUCGGUAGCUGUCGAGUUUACUUUGAACAAAUCAGAGUGCUUAACACAGGCGUUUCGCUUGAAUGUUCGUGCAUGGAAUAAUAGAAGAGGAUCACGGUCCGAUUUUAUUGGUUUUGCUGACCGAGAUAAUGGUUAACAGAGACAAACGGGGCCAUUCGUAUUGCUGCGUGAGAGGUGAAAUUCUUGGACCGCAGCAAGACGAACUACAGCGAAAGCAUUUGGCAAGAAUGUCUUCAUUAAUCAAGAACGAAAGUCAGAGGUUCGAAGGCGAUCAGAUACCGCCCUAGUUCUGACCGUAAACGAUGCCAACUAGCGAUCCGCCGGCGGUCAUGCAUUGCCCUGGUGGGGAGCUUCCCGGAAACGAAAGUCUUCCGGUUCCGGGGGAAGUAUGGUUGCAAAGCUGAAA
rnacentral:rRNA from 1 species